rnacentral:lncRNA from 1 species
CUCGAUUGAUCUGGCCGAAGCGACAGAUCUAUCGUGCUCAAGGUUUGACAUCUUCUGGCCAAAGCGACAGAAGUGUCGGGAAGAGUUUGUGAUACUCCCCCCCGAGUUUGACGACUUCUGGCCGAAGCGACAGAAGUGUCAGGAAGAGCUUGUGAUACUCCCCCCCGAAUUUGACGACUUCUGGCCGAAGCGACAGAAGUGUCAGGAAGAACUUGGGAUUCUCCCCCUUGAGAUCAUUAAGGCCGAAGCGUCAAAAUGACCUCUGGUCUACUAAGGCCAAAGCGACAAAGUAGACCGACUCACUAUCAGAGUCUGAUUCUGACCAGAGCUACAGAUCCACUAUCAGGAUCCGAU